CUUAUAAUACUUAUAUUCAGACAGAUGGUUCUUGUUUUGUUUUUUUAAUCAACAGCAAGGCAAAUGAACAGGAUGUACGAUUAUACUAAUAACUCCGUAUGCCUAAAAGUUGACGAGCGCCUGAUUCCAUCGCGUUGUGACACAAUUUCCUCUACGCACAUCCUGUACGCUCACGGGUUGUUAGGUUCUACGCCUCGCACUGCGGCUGUGAGUACAAUAGAAGACGCGACGACAGCAACAGGUCUUCAACAAUCUCCUGCUCAUAUAUAUCUUCCUGUGGAGUCGUCGUGAGAUUGACGUCAGAGGUCAUAAUGCGGCCACCUGUGACGUGGACAUAUGUCUGUGGCUUGCUCAGCCUGUUGCUCUCUGUGGCACAGCCCGUGGUUGAGUGAUGCACGCUCUGUGGCUUUUUGGUUUGUCUGUCUGUUUGUUUGUUAUAAAUUUGUUUGAGUAAAAAGAAGCAAAUCGACACAAUAAUGAUCAUUCAGUGUUGGGAAAA